rnacentral:misc_RNA from 1 species
AAAGUGCGAUAAGCAAUGCGAAUUGCAGAAUUCCGCGAAUCAUCAGAUCCUUGAACGCAACUGGCGCUAAGAGGCUCUCCUCCUAGCAUGUCUGUUUCAGUGUCUGAAAACCUCACAUCUAACUUAAUGUGACUGACAAAGAAAAGGGAAAUGUGAUUUUAUUAUCCUUUCUCUAAUAUUUUCUGAGUCUUUCAUGAAAGAUGUGCGUGUGGGUCUUUGGACCCCUCAUCGAAUUGGUCACUGGUCUCCUCAGUGAUUUCGAUAGGGGAAUUAAUACCAAUUACUCGAAUACACGCAGAAUUUUCAACAACUCAAACUCUGCAUCUGAAAUCAGGCAAGAACACCCGCUGAACUUAA